rnacentral:lncRNA from 13 species
AAUAUGUCUCUCUAAUAUGGUCAUACAUUGGGCAGGAGGUUAGGAAGUGCAGCUCAGUUUCCACCUCAUUUUGUGGGCAGUGAGCACAUAGCCUGUCUUCUCUUGAGAGCCAUGUCUGCCUACGGUGGCCUUUCUCAAUAGCAAGGCUAUGAUCACUGAGUCUGUACAUAGUCAAAGCUUUCCUUAAAUUUGGGUCAGUCACAGUGGUCAGGUAUUCUGCCACUGUGUACUCUCUGUUUAGGGCCAAAUAGCAUUCUAGUUUGCUCUGUUCUUUUGUUAAUUCUUUUCAAUGUGUCAAGUAAUGGUCUUUUUGUUUUCUCAUGAUUUGGUUGGGUCUGAUUGUGUUGCUGUCCUGGGGCUCUGUGGGGUGUGUUUGUGUUUGUGAACAGAGCCCCAGGACCAGCUUGCUUAGGGGACUCUUCUCCAGGUUCAUCCCUCUGCGAAGCAGAGGCAUGACAUCACUCUGCUGUGGGACCGCCCUGUUCUGGACCUGCUGGCUGGAGGUUACAACCUGCACUACGGAGCCCGUUCCAUCAAACAUGAGGUACGCACACACUUACAGGUACACACACAGACACUUACAGGUACACACACAGACACUUACAGGUACACACACAGACACUUACAGGUACACACACAGACACUUACAGGUACACACACAGACACUUACAGGUACACACACAGACACUUACAGGUACACACACAGACACUUACAGGUACACACACAGACACUUACAGGUACACACACAGACACUUACAGGUACACACACAGACACUUACAGGUACACACACAGACACUUACAGGUACACACAC